AUAUUUUAAGUCUGUUAUAGGCAUUAGCUUUGAAGGGGCUAAAUUUUUUUGAAUAUU
rnacentral:tRNA from 1 species